rnacentral:rRNA from 1 species
GUCCACGCCGUAAACGAUGGUCACUAGCUGUUUGGACUUCGGUCUGAGUGGCUAAGCGAAAGUGAUAAGUGACCCACCUGGGGAGUACGUUCGCAAGAAUGAAACUCAAAGGAAUUGACGGGGGCCCGCACAAGCGGUGGAGCAUGUGGUUUAAUUCGAUGAUACGCGAGGAACCUUACCAGGGCUUAAAUGUAGUCUGACAGCUUUAGAGAUAGAGUUUUCUUCGGACAGAUUACAAGGUGCUGCAUGGUU